rnacentral:rRNA from 1 species
GCCAGACUCCUACGGGAGGCAGCAGUGGGGAAUAUUGGGCAAUGGACGAAAGCCUGACCCAGCAACGCCGCGUGAAGGAAGAAGGCUUUCGGGUUGUAAACUUCUUUUGACAGGGAAGAGCAGAAGACGGUACCUGUCGAAUAAGCCACGGCUAACUACGUGCCAGCAGCCGCGGUAAUACGUAGGUGGCAAGCGUUGUCCGGAUUUACUGGGUGUAAAGGGCGUGUAGGCGGGACUGCAAGUCAGAUGUGAAAACCACGGGCUCAACCUGUGGCCUGCAUUUGAAACUGUAGUUCUUGAGUACUGGAGAGGCAGACGGAAUUCCUAGUGUAGCGGUGAAAUGCGUAGAUAUUAGGAGGAACACCAGUGGCGAAGGCGACUUUCUGGACUGUACCUGACGCUGAGGCGCGAAAGCGUGGGUAGCGAACGGGAUUAGAUACCCUGGUAUG